rnacentral:lncRNA from 1 species
GCCAUGGAUAGGAACAUCCUCUACUAGACCAGGUUGCUCAAAGCCCCAUAGUGGGGCAAAGUUUUCAGAACAAAACAAGCAGAAAUUCUCCAGUACAGGUUUUUUGAAGCAUGACUUGCUGCCUUCUCAUCAACAACAGGGAAGAAUAGAAAGUUACUCAGAUGUCAGGAUGUUUGGGGCAUACAAGAAUGAAGUCAUCAGCUUUGCUUGAAAUUUGGCAAUUACAGAAAGUAGACACUGUAUUUACACUUGCUGCAACUCCAAAACUCGGCUUGAUAUCUCUUGUUCUGUGGCCUUCCAAAACUGUCCUGGAAAUUGGUGCCCACUCUUCUACAAAUUAUGUGCACUCAAAAUCUUUUGUGUGGCUUUUUUUGUUAAGUCUAAUUUUAAGUCCUCUGAUCUUUGAUGGAUGUACAAAUUCAUUUAAUCAGUCAGUUAUCCUGCAAUACAGACAUCUGAGUCAUAUGCUCUCCAACAGCCUUUGCUUGGUUAAACACCAGAUGGAUGAAACAUCUGUAUAAAUCUUUAAUUUCUGUGACAGUGUUUCCUUCAUUUAUUCCUUGAUUUAUGUGGUUAGUUUCACUUGUCUGUUCUUCCAAUUAGUGAGUCAACCAAUCUCUGUCAGUCAGAUCUGUUCAAC